rnacentral:rRNA from 1 species
GACGAACGCUGGCGGCGUGCUUAACACAUGCAAGUCGAACGGAAAGGCCCUGCUUUUGUGGGGUGCUCGAGUGGCGAACGGGUGAGUAACACGUGAGUAACCUGCCCUUGACUUUGGGAUAACUUCAGGAAACUGGGGCUAAUACCGGAUAGGAGCUCCUGCUGCAUGGUGAGGGUUGGAAAGUUUCGGCGGUUGGGGCUGGACUCGCGGCUUAUCGGCUUGUUGGUGGGGUAGUUGCUUACCAAGGCUUUGACGGGUAGCCGGCCUGAGAGGGUGACCGGCCACAUUGGGACUGAGAGAGGGACCAGAAUCCUACGGGAGGCAGCAGUGGGGAAUAUUACACAAUGGGCGGAAGUCUGAUGCAGCAACGCCGCGUGCGUGAUGACGGCCUUCGGGUUGUAAACCGCUUUCGCCUGUGACGAAGCGGGAGUGACGGUAAUGGGUAAAGAAGCACCGGCUAACUACGUG